UAGUACGUAGGUAUUAGUGACAGCUAUUAUUAUGUGUCCACAUGGAAUCAAUAGGAAGUGAAUUUAAUUUCAGUCAUAACCACCUUCUCUGCAUUUGAAUAAAAUGUAAAUAUGAUUUCUAGUUAGAAAAUAAGUUUAUUAGCUUUGUCACUGAGUUGUUGCUUUUAAACAUCAAUAGUGUGACUACUGGCUUUUAUUCAAAGGUUAAAUUGGAAGCUAAGCUACAAAUAACCCUUUUUCAAAUGUUAGGUUGAAAAAGAAACUAUGAAAAAGUCAAAAGACAUUUUAGUAUGUGCUGAUCAUAUCCCUAUAUAUUAAUAUAUAUCCAUUGGAAUUUGG
rnacentral:lncRNA from 1 species